GGGAUGAAAUGUGUUUUUCGUUCCGGAUCCCAGGCUUGUGAGGUAGCCGGAGUCAGGGUCUGCAUCGUAUUCCCAAUGCGCAAAAGAAAGAGGGGGACUCACACGACAAGGUAAGUCUCAGCGUGGUACCAUUCUGUUAGUGCUCUAAGUAGGGACCAUCGAUAGUCCACUCCUGCGUCUUAUAGCUGGCUAGUUACUGCACUAAAGAACCUGAAACACUCUGCAGUGGCGAAGGACAAGUCCCAAAAGAAGGUGAGCCGAGAUGUCUGGAAAUCCACCGGGGGUUUUCCCUUCACUGCGUUCAAAAUGCAUUUUUUAAUCCAAUACAGAGCAACACCUGAUGAUUACGUCUCAGGAAGCAGAGGAUGGAGCUUGAUUGGGUUUGUUGGUACGAAAAAAAAGCCAUCAAACUCAG